rnacentral:rRNA from 1 species
CGAACGCUGGCGGCGUGCUUAACACAUGCAAGUCGCACGGAAAGGCCCUGCUUUUGUGGGGUGCUCGAGUGGCGAACGGGUGAGUAACACGUGAGUAACCUGCCCUUGACUUUGGGAUAACUUCAGGAAACUGGGGCUAAUACCGGAUAGGAGCUCCUGCUGCAUGGUGGGGGUUGGAAAGUUUCGGCGGUUGGGGAUGGACUCGCGGCUUAUCAGCUUGUUGGUGGGGUAGUGGCUUACCAAGGCUUUGACGGGUAGCCGGCCUGAGAGGGUGACCGGCCACAUUGGGACUGAGAUACGGCCCAGACUCCUACGGGAGGCAGCAGUGGGGAAUAUUGCACAAUGGGCGGAAGCCUGAUGCAACAACGCCGCGUGCGGGAUGACGGCCUUCGGGUGGGAAACCGCUUUCGCCUGUGACGAAGCGUGAGUGACGGUAAUGGGUAAAGAAGCACCGGCUAACUACGU